UACAGAGGGUGCAAGCGUUGUUCGGAAUUAUUGGGCGUAAAGGGCGCGUAGGCGGUUCGGCAAGUCUCUAGUGAAAUCUCAGGGCUCAACUCUGAGUCUGCUGGGGAAACUGCCGGGCUUGAGUGUGGGAGAGGAGAGUGGAAUUCCCGGUGUAGCGGUGAAAUGCGUAGAUAUUGGGAGGAACACCUGUGGCGAAAGCGGCUCUCUGGACCACAACUGACGCUGAGGCGCGAAAGCUAGGGGAGCAAACAGG
rnacentral:rRNA from 1 species